rnacentral:rRNA from 1 species
UACGGGGGGGGCAAGCGUUGUUCGGAAUUACUGGGCGUAAAGGGCGCGUAGGCGGCCUGCUAAGUCGGAUGUGAAAUCCCUCGGCUCAACCGAGGAACUGCAUCCGAUACUGGCGGGCUUGAAUCCGGGAGAGGGAUGUGGAAUUCCAGGUGUAGCGGUGAAAUGCGUAGAUAUCUGGAGGAACACCGGUGGCGAAGGCGGCAUCCUGGACCGGUAUUGACGCUGAGGCGCGAAAGCUAGGGGAGCAAACAGG